AACCAUGAAAAUGAGGUCAAGGUCAGAUGACACCUGCCAGUUGGACAUGUACACCUUACAGUCCUUCCAUACACCGAAUAUACUAGACCUAUUGCUUAUAGUAUCUGAGAUAUGGACUUGACCACGAAAACUUAACCUUGUUCACUGAUCCAUGAAAUGAGGUCGAGGUCAAGUGAAAACUAUCUGACGGGCAUGAGGACCUUGCAAGGUACCCACAUACCAAAUAUAGUUAUCCUAUUACUUAUAAUAAGAGAGAAUUUAACAUUACAAAAAAUCUGAACUUUUUUUUCAAGUAGUCACUGAACCAUGAAAAUGAGGUCAAGGUCAGAUGACACCUGCCAGCUAGACAUGUACACCUUACAAUCAUUCCAUACACCAAAUAUAGUAGACCUAUUGCAUACAGUAUAAGAAAAACAGACCAAAACACAAAAACUUAACUAUAACCACUGAACCAUGAAAAUGAGGUCAAGUUCAGAUGACACCUGCCAGUUGGACAUGUACACCUUACAGUCCUUCCAUACACCGAAUAUACUAGACCUAUUGCUUAUAGUAUCUGAGAUAUGGACUUGACCACGAAAACUUAACCUUGUUCACUGAUCCAUGAAAUGAGGUCGAGGUCAAGUGAAAACUGUCUGACGGGCAUGAGGACCUUGCAAGGUACGCACAUACCAAAUAUAGUUAUCCUAUUACUUAUAAUAAGAGAGAAUUUAACAUUACAAAAAAUCUGAACUUUUUUUUCAAGUAGUCACUGAACCAUGAAAAUGAGGUCAAGGUCAGAUGACACCUGCCAGCUAGACAUGUACACCUUACAAUCAUUCCAUACACCAAAUAUAGUAGACCUAUUGCAUGCAGUAUUAGAAAAAAAGACCAAAACUCAAAAACUUAACUUUGACCACUGAACCAUGAAAAUGAGGUCAAUGUCAGAUGACACCUGCCAGCUAGACAUGUACACCUUACAAUCAUUCCAUACACCAAAUAUUGUUGACCUAUUGCAUACAGUAUAAGAAAAACAGACCAAAACACAAAAACUCAACUAUAACCACUGAACCAUGAAAAUGAAGUCAAGGUCAGAUGACACCUGCCAGCUAGACAUGUACACUUUACAAUCCUUCCAUACACCAAAUAUUGUAGACCUAUUGCAUACAGUAUAAGAAAAACAGACCAAAACACAAAAACUCAACUAUAACCACUGAACCAUGAAAAUGAGGUCAAGGUCAGAUGACACCUGACAGCUAGACAUGUACACCUUACAAUCCUUCCAUACACCAAAUAUAGUAGACCUAUUGCAUACAGUAUAAGAAAAACAGACCAAAACACAAAAACUCAACUAUAACCACUGAACCAUGAAAAUGAGGUCAAGGUCAGAUGACACCUGCCAGCUAGACAUGUACACCUUACAAUCCUUCCAUACACCAAAUAUAGUAGACCUAUUGCAUACAGUAUAAGAAAAACAGACCAAAACACAAAAACUCAACUAUAACCACUGAACCAU